UCAGCAGUGCCGCGUGUGUGAGAGGCCUUCCGGGUGUAAGCACUUUUGUCCGGAAAGAAAUGCUUGGCUCUAAUACAGGCGGGGGAUGACGGUACCGGAAGAAUAAGCACCGGCUAACUACGUGCCAUCAGCCGCGGUAAUACGUAGGGUGCGAGCGUGAAUCGGAAUUACUGGGCGUAAAGCGUGCGCAGGCGGUUUGCUAAGACCGAUGUGAAAUCCCCGGGCUCAACCUGGGAACUGCAUUGGUGACUGGCAGGCUAGAGUAUGGCAGAGGGGGGUAGAAUUCCACGUGUAUGACUGCAAUGCGUAGAGAUGUGGAGGAAUACCGAUGGCGAAGGCAGCCCCCUGGGCCAAUACUGACGCUCAUGCACGAAAGCGUGGGGAGCAAACAGGAUUAGAUACCCCGGUAGAA
rnacentral:rRNA from 1 species